UGGGGAAUUUUCCGCAAUGGGCGAAAGCCUGACGGAGCAAUACCGCGUGAGGGAUGACGGCCUAUGGGUUGUAAACCUCUUUUUUCAGGGAGGAAUAAAUGACGUGUACCUGAAGAAUAAGCAUCGGCUAACUCCGUGCCAGCAGCCGCGGUAAGACGGAGGAUGCAAGUGUUAUCCGGAAUCACUGGGCGUAAAGCGUCUGUAGGUGGUUUAAUAAGUCAACUGUUAAAUCUUAAGGCUCAACCUUGAAAUCGCAGUCGAAACUAUUAGACUAGAGUAUAGUAGGGGUAAAGGGAAUUUCCAGUGGAGCGGUGAAAUGCGUAGAUAUUGGAAAGAACACCGAUGGCGAAGGCACUUUACUGGGCUAUUACUAACACUCAGAGACGAAAGCUAGGGUAGCAAAUGGGAUUAGAUACCCCAGUAGUC
rnacentral:rRNA from 1 species